AUGAGUCUAGCUAAACUUUAUCCAAAAGAUUUUGAUGAUGGAGAACUCAGGGACCUUAGGCAUCACUUUCAUCUUUACAUUGCUGAUGUCCGAGCAGAUGAUCGCUUCUCUAGAUUAAGUAAUAUUUGUGAGCUCUCUCAAAAACUGGUGGAGACAAGAAAACAUAUUGUCUAUCCCUUGGUUUAUUGACUUUGGAAGCUAGCACUAGUAUUGCCUGUUGCCACUUCUAUGGUUGAGAGAUCUUUUUCAGCUAUGAGAAUUGUAAAGACAUAUUUGCGCAAUCAUCUUGGUGACGACGCCUUAAAGUACGACCUAAUUUGUUAUGUGGAGAAAAGCGAAAUGAGGAAGGUUACUAAUGAUGCGGUAAUUGAUCGAUUUGAAGCCAUGAAAAAACGUCGGUAA
rnacentral:rRNA from 1 species